GAGUGAAUAGAGUGUCUUAGUGGCGGACGGGUGAGUAACGCGUGAGUAACCUGCCAUACAGUGGGGGAAUAACGACACCGAAAGGUGUGCUAAUACCGCAUGAUGUAUCGAGAUCGCAUGGUCUUGAUACCAAAGAUUUAUCGCUGUAUGAUGGGCUCGCGUCUGAUUAGGAUAGUUGGUGAGGUAACGGCUCACCAAGUCGACGAUCAGUAGCCGGACUGAGAGGUUGAACGGCCACAUUGGGACUGAGACACGGCCCAGACUCCUACGGGAGGCAGCAGUGGGGGAUAUUGCACAAUGGGCGCAAGCCUGAUGCAGCGACGCCGCGUGAGGGAAGACGGUCUUCGGAUUGUAAACCUCUGUCAUCGGGGACGAUAAUGACGGUACCCGAUGAGGAAGCUCCGGCUAACUACGUGCCAGCAGCCGC
rnacentral:rRNA from 1 species